rnacentral:rRNA from 1 species
CCACGCCGUAAACGAUGAAUACUAAGUGUUGGAGUAACAUUCAGUGCUGCAGUUAACGCAAUAAGUAUUCCGCCUGGGGAGUAUGCACGCAAGUGUGAAACUCAAAGGAAUUGACGGGGGCCCGCACAAGCGGUGGAGUAUGUUGUUUAAUUCGACGCAACGCGAAGAACCUUACCAGGUCUUGACAUGGCUCUAAAGGCCUCAGAGAUGAGGAGAUAGUUAUAGAGCACACAGGUGGUGCAUGGUUGU